AGUCACGUGGUGCGUAGUUCGCGCCAUUUUUCUCAAACAGCGGCGUGAGCGCGCGCGCGGCGGAUGACCCCGUCCAGCGUCAACAACAAUUUAGUUUGUUUUAAUAUUCGAUGUAAACUUAUAAUUAGUCACAAAUGUUCAACAAAGAAGUCUACAGUUAUAAGCGCAGGGUGGCGGGAAAGUCUUUGGAUGCCACGUGCAGUGUGCGGCACGUGGCCUUAAAUCGGCCUUCAGCAAAAAGACGGUGGUGGCGGGUUUAACGACACACAUUGACGCGGUCAACCCCAAAAACUAUGAAUGCUAUUGGUCGCGAAAGCGUACUGUUUAAAAAUAUGGUGUUUUGAGUGUGGUGAGAUUGGCGAUUUUGUUGUGGGAGGGGGGGGCCUAACGGAAAUCGUUGCAAAAUAAAAUAUUGAGAAGAGACGCAACAGUGCAAUCCUCUUAAAUGUGUUUCUUUGAGAAUGCCCUGGCCUUGCCAAAGUGCUGACAUUGCAGGUAGUGACGACUUAUCUUUCUACUGCAGUGCAAGCACUUGUAGCUGGGCCGUCUGGGUCAUCCACCGCACAAAAGAAUGUUGCACGUUGUGGUUGUCACGACGCUUUAGAGUUUUGGCAAAAUCCCCCCCCCCAGGUCGGGCAUUCGGAAUUGUUGUGUUGGUAAUUAGCGCGUUUUUUUAUAAGUUUACUGAUUUUCUUGCCUGCGCGUGUUCGCGUUGCCAGCCUUGUCCAGAUUUGAGCUUCCUGCGCGCGCAUGUGCUGUGCUUGCUUGUGUAAAGGUGCAUUUAGUGCAGAUAGUGGCAUAGCUGGCAUUCUACUGCUCUAUGUGCUCCUUCUUUCACAAGAAGUCACUUUGCUGCUGCUGCCGCUUCCUCAUUCCUGCUUCCAUCCCUGGACACACCCCGCCCGUGCGCCAUAUGCCCCCCCCCCGGGGCGUGCUACCCAGCUUGGGAUUUUCAUCGGCCGUACCGUCGACUUAAUUGACGCCAAAUGUAGUGUUGUCGACUGCUGGCAAGACUGCGACUCUUGGGUCGACAUUGCUCACCUGUACUGCAAGUGAAAUUACCGCUUGCUCUGCCUGAUCAAUCUGUCCCCCCCACCCCCUCUGCACCAUUUGUUCCAUUAAAUCCAAGCUGAGAUAUUGCGCUGCUGAUAAUUCGCACCUGGUGGUGGGGGGGGGAUAAAUGUGUGCUGUGGUGCUGUGCUUUUGUCAGGUUGGGGGGUGGGGCAGGAGUGCACUUCGACCUGCGGCUUGCUCGCUCUACGGUGGCGCUUGUGCAAUCGUGUGGCGCUGGAUUCAGGUGGUGAUUUUUUUUUAAACACGCGGUCUUGAAAUGGCAUAGCGGUGAGAUUUCAAAGUGAAGAAAACAAGGACUCAAGCCUGCUGUGGGCGUGCAUUGUUAAAGUGCAGAUAGUGGUAGUUGGUCCUAAAAAUGACAGCUACUCUAUUUACACUUUAAACACUGUGCGGUCCCAAUCCCCUCUGUCGCCUUCUGCUGGAUGGUUCAUUGUUUAACAGGAAAUGGUUCCCUGUAAAAGUUGAUGGGCUUCUGGUUUGACGACACGCUUCGUUUUUAGAGCCCAGUUGUGUAAUGAGCAGGUGGUGGGACUGAUUUGUCUUCAUCUUGGGCGAGUGGUUAAAUAUUAAACGGCAUGCGCACGUCCGUGAAAUUCUAAUUUAUUUUGGGUUUUGUAGCACGAUGUGGCAUAUUUUGCAGAGUUGUGUGCUUUAAAAUUGCUUGCCCCCCCCCCAACACUGCUCUUGAAAAUAUUUCACGUUAAGCAAAUGUACUUGCAACUAAGUGCAAGGAUUCUUGAGUCCCAACAAAUGUAACUGCUCAGCCACUUGAGGCUGGCAUGGGUGCAAGUUCAGGUGCUAACCUGUUUAAAGGAAUACCUCGGAUGAUUAUCAACGUUCAGAAUUUAUGUAAUGUAGCUGGGAUGAUUGUUCUUACCCUGAAUUGGUACAUGGAGACAAUUUUUGCAAGUUUUUUUUUACUUUCUAUGCAUUUAGAGAUUGCACUUUUAAAAGAAGUGAAGAGAACAGGAUUCCUUUGCAUCGUCUCUGCGCUGGUGAGAAGGUGCCUCUGUCAGUUUUGCAGAUUUGCACUGCGGUGGUGCCUCGUUCCCAAGCUGUGCAAAUCCCCUGCAAAACUGAUGGCGACACUGCAUGUGCUCCCUACCUCGUGCCCCCAUCCCCUCGCUAAUGCUGCUGCAUUGUCAACUUCACUUGCAUCUUUUUUUUGCCUUUUGGAUACAUUGUAAAAUUCAUACAAGUUAUUUUUAGACUUUUUUUCUCGCCCCACAAUUGCUGUUGUAUUAAAUCGGAUGUAAUUACGAAAAAUUGUAAAAAAUGGUUUUUAAAGUAAUCGGCUGCCAUGAGUUUGUUUUAUUAGGUGGCGCAUGGUUGGGGAGAGCACCCGUCCGUGGCUGCUUGUGUUUUUGGGGUGUCUUGCGCAUGUGCUGAAUUACAUUUGGCUGAGACUUGCAACUUGCCCCUGCCCCCUCUUUCACGCGAGCCGGAUACACGUCUUUCCAAGGCUUUGGCAGAAGUGCUGAAAUGAAAACACGGGGGGCAAGGAUUGAACUAAGUAAUUUUGUUUGAACGGACCCUGGUGAUCCUCAAGUUACCUUCUGCUGUUGUAAUAUUCCCAAGGAUUGUAGCCUUUCUCCUACAGAGUUGACCCGUCAUGAACCCCUCUCCCUUCCAAUGAAGGCAUCUAAAUUCAGCUUCUCCCAUUUUCUCACACGCAUGCUGUCCCUUAGUCUCAUUACAGCAAUCUCGAAUUGCAUGCUUGGUGCAAGGUUUGUACUGUUGUCCUUUUGGAAUCGAGGUUUAAAGUAAAAUCCUGUAAGUGCUGAAUGUCCUAUUAUCCAUGCAGAAUUGAUAAGAUACGUACACUUGGAUGUGGUUCUCACCAUUGACUUGCAGAAUUUGCGUUGGCUGCGGGUGGACAAUUGCGCAUUAUUUUGCUGUCGAGCAUUUAAUAUUCAUUGCAUGUUUGCGUUUUUGUUAAAUUAUGGUGCCUUUCAUUAUUGUAACUGAUGUGCGUCAUAUUUUGUUAAUGCUGCCAAUGUCUUGCCUUUACAGCAUUUCACGUGUCCGUUUAUACCUGCAAGUUGUGCUGCGUGUUAACCAGCCUUGCAGUAAAUUGUAUACAUGGGAAGCAACAUUGUGCUCUUUACCGAUGCCUCUGCUGCUUUCUGUGCUAUAUAGUUCAACACUGGCCAUUUCUGCAAAACGAUGCUUGGUGUGUAACCUUGACUAGAAAUGUAAAUGCAAGUCUCCUCGUUCACCCAACUGUUUUGCCUCAACCUAAUCCCUUGCUGUUAAAUAUGGGGACAAUAAUGCUUUUAUCUAGCACUUUUCCCACGCUCAAUGCACUGAAUGGUAAAACUAACCUUUAUACAUACUAGAGAGAAUAUUACAUGAAAAACAAUGACCUGUAAUAAAGCUAAAGAGCAUUGCAGGGACAGAGAAUAUACAGAGGAAGAGGGACUUUAAGCCAGUUAUGACCUUUUGAACAGUCUUUAGUUGAUUUGAAGGUAAAUAUCGACUCAAUCCGAUGUUGCAUAGCCUCGGGGCAACUGACAUGAGUUUAGCACGCAACCUCCCAGCUUGCUAAUUAUCUUGUAGGUCCACAUUGAUUACACGUUUGGCGGGAUUAUUUAGUGGCAGGACUUUGCUUGUGGUGUUAUGUCUGCCCACAGGGUGCCAAAGUGCUUAUAGUGCAGGUAGUUGAUCUUAGUCUACUGCAUUUUGAGCACUUGUAGCACCAGGUGUGGAAAAACCAUCCUGUAGGUCCGUAUUGUAAAAGUUUAUGGAUACCUCCUCACCUUGCAACUGAACUACAGGCCUUUCUAAUCGUGUUGCUUAUGUUUGAAUUUUAAAACGUUUGCACCCUUCAUGCUCUCCCUGCCAGUUUUGCAUGUUUGCUGUCGGCUUGUCAAAAUGUGCUGUGCAAAUCCAUGCAAAACUGACGGUGAGUGCACCUCCGCUGACUGCCCACAUCAACCCAGCAUGUCUUCACGGUCUGCAACAGAUUCGGUGUUGCCCUGUCGCGCAUUUUGGGAGGUUGCCUUGUGAUUUAUUUAUUGUUGCAUCUUUAUACAACGCGUUCCCUGUCCCGCUGAGGUCAGGAUGGGCAGCAAUGCGUGACUAGAUCCUGUAUUGCACUCGUCCCGGCCUUAGCGAGAUUUAUCGGGUAUCCGAUCAUUUUCAGGGGAAUGAGGUGCAGCCUUGAAGUGGCAUUUUUGUUUUACCACCUUGUCAGUGUUCAUGCCUUUUAAAAGUAACUACUCACAGCUUUUAAAAUGCUUUAUGCAAAUUGGGUGGGUAAAGUUAUUUCCUUCGUGCCAUGUGUAUUUGAAAAGUUAUAAAAUGUUAAACGGUUUGAAAUAUUCUGCCUUUUUAAACUGAACUGUAAUGUGAACGCCUGUGGCCAGAUUAAAACUUAGACUUUGAAUACCACUGAAAUGUAAAUUAAGUUUGUUUGUGCCCCAAAUUGGUUUUGGUUUUAAGUGUAUUGACAUGCUGCUAUCACUUUGGUAUGUCAAAUAUUGGUAUUAAUUGGAUUGUACAACUAAUUGUAAGUAAAAUCUGUGGGUGGCCACAACUCUCCCAAGGUUUGCCAAGCAGUUAAUUGCGGCUUGACAUGUUUGCGUCAUCCCUUAAUUGAGACAAGGGAAUAUCGAGUUGCAACAGUGUCUGAAUUUUAAUAUACCUCUGGCUCGGCCAACGGUUUUGAGGUCGAAGGGAUUACAUAAAUCUAUACCAAAAAGGGCAUUUCAAUCGACGUUAAAUUCAGGAAUAGUUUGCAAUAUUAGUAACUGUUAUAUUGAAUGAAUCGUGACCCUUAUGCAGACAUUGGUUGCUGUGCAUUACCAUUUUCUAACUUCAAAUGCUAUUAAUAAAUUGACAAUGUUAAUGGUUACGUUUACUGCAAUUUGAGGUGCAUAUUUGCGAACCAAUAGUCCUGAUUUUGUUCAAAGUUGGUUUAUUUUGGAUGAAAAGUGUUUUUUACGGGUUUGUUUGAUUCAUUCCGUAAUCCAUUAAGUUAAUUUUCAAUGUGGGUGCCAACAUGGUAAGGAAUGGCAUUUUUUGAAACAAAUGUUUUUCAUGUUUGAUUUGACAUUCUGGCAAUGUUGUCUUGGUUUGCAUCACCACUGCUUGGGCCUGCCAAGCUUGUAAACAUUUGGCAAGGGCCCAAAAGACUCAAUUUAGCCAGUGGCGUCAAUGGCACACAAAUAUUACGCAUUUCAUCACUGCUUAAUGUGUGCAAAGGCUCCCAAUAUUAACCUGACAAGUUGGAUCUAUAAUUGCUCUGGAUUUUAGAAACCAUUUGCCGUAUUGAAGGCACUCGGUUUUGCAGUAGUUUCAAUUACCAACCUCGGCAGAAGAUUAUUUUGUGGGGGUGUUGGCGACAUCCACGGUCCCUUCAGUUGCCUUCCGAAAGUGUAGGCGCCAGGGCUGCGCCUUGUGACCUGACAUUUUGUAACGCUCAAACUAUUUUGUAAAGUGGCGUUUUAUCACGUUAAUUCCUACUCGCAAGUGUUAGAGCUAUCGUUGGCGAGAGGUUUUCUGGAAUUAUCCAGCAUGCAGAUCUCAAACUAACCUUUUUGAACAUUAUUCUAGUCGGACUUGCAAAAAUAACUUUCUAAAAGGUGGUGUCAUGUGAAAAGCAGCAGUGCGUUUGUGGUUUGAACGAACCACGUAGACAACGUAUGCCGCUUUUCGUGGGGGAGGAGGGUGGGGGGAGUGACAUCUUUGUAACCUGCAUAGUGCAGGCUGAAACCUGUCGCUGGCCGUUAGCCCAAACAAAACAACCCAACUCGUUCUCGCUGGUUCGAGUUAUGCAGCGCGAUGUCUGCCGAUAGCGGCAUUCAACACUGUCCUGGGGCCACAGGUGAGCAACUCCGGUUGGAAUUGGGUGGUGGGGGGGGGACCGGAAAGGGAAGGGGGCUGCCCUUUGUCCCCGUGGGCGCUGGGUGGAGGGGGGGAGAUGCGGGGUCUCGUCUGGACGGCGCGAGCAGGCGGAGACUGGAGCAAGUGCUCUACACUCGUGGUGGCAUUGCACUAGUCUCAGUCUGCCCGAGUCGCCGCCCGAAACUUUCACCACCCCAAGCCCGCUGUGUUGUCACCGUUGUGGUGUGGCGGUCUCCGUCUAAGCAAAAGGAGGCGAACGAACUGCCGUUGGUGUGAGGCGCUGUGAAUCUGAAAUGUAAACAAUCUCUUGGUCACAACUUGGAAGUAUAAUGGGUCGCAAUGCUCGAAGUUGAAGCCGACAGUCUCGUAUUUAACCUCCGUUUCGUCAUGUACCCCGACGGUACCACCGUCUAGACUCGGGGCAUCACUAGCCCGUCUGCUUUGUGUCAACUCGAAACUGCUAUGCGGUGCUGUCGACCUCAGGUAUUUCGUAUUUCUAUGGAUGUCUUGUCUCCCCGCACCCCUCCCCAUUCGUACGUUUCUGAAUAAAAAAAUAUACUUUAA